rnacentral:lncRNA from 1 species
CCCAACCCAACCGUGGCUCGCCCUCACCAGACCCCCCCAACCCAACCCUGGCUCGCCCUCACCACACCCGACCCACUCAGGCUCCUCGGAACAUCACGGCCACACAGCAGCCACAUCGCACAACCACACCCCUCCCCGAGAGCCCCGGAGUCACCCUCGCGUUGGCUCUCACCGUGCGUCUGCUCGCACACCCCGCACACUCGCGAGCCGGGCGGCCCGGGCGAGCGCGCGCGCGCUCCUGCCCUCACUCGGGGUCCGCCGAGCCCCCCGAGGCGAGCCCGCGCCCGGUCGGCAGCCCACGGCCGCCGCAAAGCCGACCACCAGUCGGGCGGCUCCCGCGCUUCCCGCGGCGGGGUCCCGGCAGCGCCACCGGCCCGACAGCCCCGGAAGGCGAGCUCAGAGACGUGACCCCCAGGCGCGCCCCGGGCGGGUCCAUAGACUCCCCGCGGCCAGCGGCGCGCGACCGUUAGGUUUCCCCGAGCACGGGCGCUCCCGGCAGGCCUCGCGGCCCGCCCAACUUCCGGCCGGAGCUCCGGCGGCGCUUCCUGUGCGAGGGAGCCGAGAGGCGGCCGGGGGCGCCCGGGUGGCUGAGCUCGUUAGCGCCGCGCGCGCGGGACCACUUGGUGGCUGUGGCCUUGGGGAACUACAUUUCCCAGAAAGCCCCGCGGCCGGGGGGGCGCCCCUCGCUGGGACUCUCGGGCGUUUCCAGCGGCCUGGCGGGACCGUUAGAAGGGGCGAGGCGAGGACGGCCCAGCUUGGCCCCGAGGUUUGCACUUCGGCGCCACAGGUUCCGCCCUCGGCCGACUGGAAGAGCCUCAGAUGAGAAGAGGGGCGGCCUGUGCGAGCUGGGGCCUUGGGGCUGGGCGAGCAAGUGCCCUGAUGGUUUGGGGGGCGUCGUCUGCAACCCAUUCUAACGGGCGUUUCUGUGAGGACGAGAAACGGCUGCUCACUGUGCCUGAGCCGGGCGGUGGUGGCGCCCGCCUUUAGUCCCUGCCCUCGGGAGGCCAGGGGGAUCUCUGUGAGUUCGAGACCAGCCUGGUCUACCAGGGAUAGUUCCAGGACAGCCUCCAAAGCCACACAGAGAAACCCUGUCUUGCCUGAGACUCCUGCCCCUUGUCAGAACUCUGUCCCCGGAAGCCUCCCUGAGCUCUGAAAUCCAAUGUGUGAAACCAAGAUGUUGUCGAUAAAGAACAGGCAUGUUAGUCAAGUAAUGCUUACCUCUAAAGACAUGCCCACUUGUAUUCACCCUGCAUUUCUUCACUCUACACUGAAAAACUAAUCAUGAGGAUAAACCCUAUGAAUGUAAGACAUGGGAAAAGACUUUUAAUCAGAACUUAGAAUUAAUUCAACACCAGAGAAUUCAUUCUCGUGGAAAACCCUAUGAGAGUAAGGAGUGUGGCAAAGCCUGGAGUCAUGUCUCACUUGUUACUCAACAUCAGCAGACUCACACUGGUGAGAAACCUUAGGAAUGUGAGGAGUGUGGCAGGACUUUUAUUUAUUUAUUUUUAAAGAUUUUAUUUAUUAUGUAUACACUCUUGUGCCUGCAGGCAAGCAGAGGGCACCAAAUCUCAUUCAGGGUGGUUUUGAGCCACCAUGUGGUUGUUGGGAAUUAAACUCAGGACCUCUGGAAGAACAGUCAGUGCUCUUAACCGCUGAGCCAUCAUCUCUCCAGCCCCAUGUGGCAGGACUUUUCGUUGUGGUUGAUAUUUUUCCCAACAUUGAAGGGUUCACACUGGUGAGAAACCCUGUGAAUGUAAAGUCUGUGGGAAAGCCUUUAAAUUCUCAAAUCUUAAUGAUCAUCAAAGAAUUCCCACGGUUGAGAAACCUGACGUUUAUAAAGUCUGUGGGAAAGCCUUUACUCAAAGUUCACAACUUUUCCAGCAUCUGAGAAUGUAUACCUGUGAAAAACCAUUGUGAAUGUAAGGAGUGUGGAAAGGCCUUUACUCAACACUCAAGGCUCAUUCGGCACCAUAGAAUUCACACUGGUGAGAAACCUGAUGAAUGUAAGAUGUGUGGGAAAGCCUUUGGUAAUCACCAGGGAAUUCAUUCUGGUGUGAAACUCUAUGAAUGGAAAGAAUGGAAAGGCCUUUAUUCAGAGCUCAGAACUUGACACUAUUUUGUAGCUGUGUCAUUCUGCUCUCUACUUCUAUAUUCUCGUUGUAUUCACUCUGAGAAUGGAUACCAGUCAUACUGGAUUAAGGUCUCCUAAUGAUCUUAAUGGCUUUAUCCACAAAACCAUAUUUCCAUGAGAAAUCAUAUACACUGCUACCAGGAGUUAAAGCUGCAUCAUAUCUUUUGGGGGAGAGCACUGAAGGUGAGAAUAGUACAGUUCAAAACUAUAAUAUCCUAUCAAUACAAUUUUAUCUAAUGUAUUUGUAAUUUUCUCCCAUAUAUUUGUUAAAUAUAUUUUAAAAUGUGAAUGUAAAGUCUAAAACUCUCUCCUUCCCCCAGAAGAAAAGAUUCUAUCCCCAAACUACAUAAAUGCCCUCUAAGUGCAGUUUCAAUGUUUUUUUUUUCCCUUCCUUUUUCUUUAAAACAUAUUUAAAAGGUUUUUGUUUUGGUUUGAUUUGGUUUUUGGUUUUUCGAGACAGGGUUUCUCUGUAGACCAGGCUGGCCUCAAACUCAUGGGUACAUAGUGGGACCAUGUCUCAAAAAAAGAAAGAAAAAAUUAAAAUGAAUGAAAGAAUUUCUACUUGCUGAUUCCUACAUGUUAUAUUUCUGCAUUAUAUAAAGAAUGACUCUUCCAGUCUACUGCAAGACACUUUCAGAAAGACUAAGAAUACAAUGUACAAGAAAACUUCAUUUGGUCAUAUAUGGAGAAUAAUCAAGUUUAUAUUGAAUUUCCAAUAUAAAUUCCUAGGUUUUUAGUAGUUUUGCCUCCUGAUCUAUCAAGAGAUAUUAAGGACAUUGCUUUAGUAUUCAGUCACAGGAUCAAUAAGAACUACUAUAGACAUGUACACUUACCACAAACUAGGUAGAGAAAACAUAGCUGAUAUGGUAUGGUUCUUAAAACCAGUUGGUUAUAGGAUUAUUUUCUACACAGUUAACAUAUCAAAAGACAUUGAUGUUUAGAGUACAAACUUGGUAACGAGCACUCUAUGAUAUAUAGGUUUGAUAUCCUCAACUCAGGUUCAAUUUAUAUUUACAAUUGUAUAUGGUUUACUGAGGAAUGUGUUAUAAUAUACUUCUAAGUCUCUUCACAUAUAGUUUGUAUAUGUUGUUACCAUACAAGUUUAGAGCUUUUGUGUCAGAAAAAACAUGCUUAUGUUCUGUAAUAUUUCUACUAAAAUUUGCGCCACAAUGAGAGUAGAAAUUUCCUGCUACUAAAGCACUGUAUGUAAACAAAGUAAAAUGAUAAGAUUGGGGAUCUUGAUCCAGGUUUCCCACACAAUUAUUAGGUUCUCAGUCCUGUAGGCAUUUUUCCCUAGCAUGAAUUUCCUGAUGUCUGAGGUUUGGCUUCUGAUAGAAGACUUUGCCGCACUCAUUAUACUCAUAGGAUUUUUUUCUCUAGUGUUUAUUGAGACGUGAUUUCUGGCUAAAACAUUUGCC